CUUCACCGAGCCGAGCAGCAGCGAGCGCUCCGGGUCACGGUCCCGGCCGUACGUGGCGAGCAGGGCCUGCGCCUC
rnacentral:antisense_RNA from 1 species